GUUCAGAUCAAUCAAGAUUCGGUGUUGGCUGAUGAUGAGUCAGAAUUGUAUGUUGACCGACUAUGAGUCAACACUAAAUUAUGGACGAUCAAAGGUUGGCACUAAGAGCCACUUGAUGAAGGAUCGAUCAAAGAUACUUACCGAUUAAGAGUCAGUAUUGCACAUUCACCGAUUGGAGAUUAUCAAAAUUUACAGACGAUUAACAGUUAGG
rnacentral:lncRNA from 1 species